UUCGAGAUGCGCGCGCAUCCAAUUUUAAUUUCUUCACCGUACGGUGCUGCCGCCACCGGAGAUUCUGGAGUUUUAAAUAAUUGAGAGGGAAAGUUGUCGGUACAGCUGAUACUUAACGGACAAUAAUUUAAACAUACCACGUCAAGUUAUUUAGACAAAUGUCAGCGAGGUGACAGCUGUCAUUUUGGGGUUAGUCAGCUGUUGCCAAAUUUAGAAUGUUCUGGGG